GACGAACGCUGGCGGCGUGCUUAACACAUGCAAGUCGAACGGAAAGGCCCUGCUUUUGUGGGGUGCUCGAGGGGCGAACGGGUGAGUAACACGUGAGUAACCUGCCCUUGACUUUGGGAUAACUUCAGGAAACUGGGGCUAAUACCGGAUAGGAGCUCCUGCUGCAUGGUGUGGGUUGGAAAGUUUCGGCGGUUGGGGAUGGACUCGCGGCUUAUCAGCUUGUUGGUGGGGUAGUGGCUUACCAAGGCUUUGACGGGUAGCCGGCCUGAGAGGGUGACCGGCCACAUUGGGACUGAGAUACGGCCCAGACUCCUACGGGAGGCAGCAGUGGGGAAUAUUGCACAGUGGGCGGAAGCCUGAUGCAGCAGCGCCGCGUGCGGGAUGACGGCCUUCGGGUUGUAAACCGCUUUCGCCUGUGACGAAGCGUGAGUGACGGUAAUGGGUAAAGAAGCACCGGCUAACUACGUG
rnacentral:rRNA from 1 species